rfam:Candidatus Regiella insecticola LSR1 genomic scaffold Scaffold169, whole genome shotgun sequence.
CCAUUUGUAUCACCAAAUGAUCCUAGGAUACUGAAUAAAAAAGCGUAUCUGACAAUGUAACAAAGCGUAAUGACACGCUGGACACAAAUCGUGAGAGGCGUAUUCUCCUGAUAACCACAAAUCGGGUGAGCGC